rnacentral:rRNA from 1 species
CGCUGAAUUGAAGUGCUUGCACUGACUUUCAGCAUUGGACGAGUGGCGAACUGGUGAGUAACACGUGGGUAACCUGCCCGGAAGCAGGGGAUAACACUUGGAAACAGGUGCUAAUACCGUAUAACAACUGAAACCGCAUGGUUUCAGUUUGAAAGAUGGUUUCGGCUAUCACUUCUGGAUGGACCCGCGGCGUAUUAGCUAGUUGGUGGAGUAAUGGUUCACCAAGGCAAUGAUACGUAGCCGACCUGAGAGGGUAAUCGGCCACAUUGGGACUGAGACACGGCCCAAACUCCUACGGGUGGCAGCAGUAGGGAAUCUUCCACAAUGGACGAAAGUCUGAUGGAGCAACGCCGCGUGAGUGAAGAAGGGUUUCGGCUCGUAAAACUCUGUUGUUGAAGAAGAACACAUCUGAGAGUAACUGUUCAGGUGUUGACGGUAUUUAACCAGAAAGCCACGGCUAACUACGUGCCAGCAGCCGCGGUAAUACGUAGGUGGCAAGCGUUGUCCGGAUUUAUUGGGCGUAAAGCGAGCGCAGGCGGUUUCUUAAGUCUGAUGUGAAAGCCUUCGGCUUAACCGGAGAAGUGCAUCGGAAACUGGGAGACUUGAGUGCAGAAGAGGACAGUGGAACUCCAUGUGUAGCGGUGAAAUGCGUAGAUAUAUGGAAGAACACCAGUGGCGAAGGCGGCUGUCUGGUCUGUAACUGACGCUGAGGCUCGAAAGCAUGGGUAGCGAACAGGAUUAGAUACCCUGGUAGUCCAUGCCGUAAACGAUGA